GAAAGCAGGUCAUAGUGAUCCGGUGGUUCUGAAUGGAAGGGCCAUCGCUCAACGGAUAAAAGGUACUCCGGGGAUAACAGGCUGAUACCGCCCAAGAGUUCAUAUCGACGGCGGUGUUUGGCACCUCGAUGUCGGCUCAUCACAUCCUGGGGCUGAAGUAGGUCCCAAGGGUAUGGCUGUUCGCCAUUUAAAGUGGUACGCGAGCUGGGUUUAGAACGUCGUGAGACAGUUCGGUCCCUAUCUGCCGUGGGCGCUGGAGAACUGAGGGGGGCUGCUCCUAGUACGAGAGGACCGGAGUGGACGCAUCACUGGUGUUCGGGUUGUCAUGCCAAUGGCACUGCCCGGUAGCUAAAUGCGGAAGAGAUAAGUGCUGAAAGCAUCUAAGCACGAAACUUGCCCCGAGAUGAGUUCUCCCUGACCCUUUAAGGGUCCUGAAGGAACGUUGAAGACGACGACGUUGAUAGGCCGGGUGUGUAAGCGCAGCGAUGCGUUGAGCUAACCGGUACUAAUGAACCGUGAGGCUUAACCUUACAACGCCGAAGGUGUUU
rnacentral:rRNA from 1 species